rnacentral:rRNA from 1 species
UGGGGAAUAUUGCACAAUGGGCGCAAGCCUGAUGCAGCCAUGCCGCGUGUAUGAAGAAGGCCUUCGGGUUGUAAAGUACUUUCAGUCGGGAGGAAGGUGUCAAGGUUAAUAACCUUGGCAAUUGACGUUACCGACAGAAGAAGCACCGGCUAACUCCGUGCCAGCAGCCGCGGUAAUACGGAGGGUGCAAGCGUUAAUCGGAAUUACUGGGCGUAAAGCGCACGCAGGCGGUUGAUUGAGUCAGAUGUGAAAUCCCCGGGCUUAACCCGGGAAUUGCAUCUGAGACUGGUCAGCUAGAGUCUUGUAGAGGGGGGUAGAAUUCCAUGUGUAGCGGUGAAAUGCGUAGAGAUGUGGAGGAAUACCGGUGGCGAAGGCGGCCCCCUGGACAAAGACUGACGCUCAGGUGCGAAAGCGGGGGGAGCAAACAGG